GAUGAACGCUGGCGGCGUGCCUAAUACAUGCAAGUCGAGCGAACAGAUGAGGAGCUUGCUCCUCUGACGUUAGCGGCGGACGGGUGAGUAACACGUGGAUAACCUACCUAUAAGACUGGGAUAACUUCGGGAAACCGGAGCUAAUACCGGAUAAUAUAUUGAACCGCAUGGUUCAAUAGUGAAAACGGUUUUGCUGUCACUUAUAGAUGGAUCCGCGCCGCAUUAGCUAGUUGGUAAGGUAACGGCUUACCAAGGCAACGAUGCGUAGCCGACCUGAGAGGGUGAUCGGCCACACUGGAACUGAGACACGGUCCAGACUCCUACGGGAGGCAGCAGUAGGGAAUCUUCCGCAAUGGGCGAAAGCCUGACGGAGCAACGCCGCGUGAGUGAUGAAGGUCUUCGGAUCGUAAAACUCUGUUAUUAGGGAAGAACAAAUGUGUAAGUAACUAUGCACGUCUUGACGGUACCUAAUCAGAAAGCCACGGCUAACUACGUG
rnacentral:rRNA from 1 species